rnacentral:rRNA from 1 species
UACAGAGGGUGCGAGCGUUAAUCGGAAUUACUGGGCGUAAAGCGUGCGCAGACGGUCAUGUAAGUCGGGUGUGAAAGCCCCGGGCUCAACCUGGGAAUUGCAUUCGAGACUAUGUGGCUAGGGUGCGGAAGAGGGAAGCGGAAUUUCCGGUGUAGCGGUGAAAUGCGUAGAUAUCGGAAGGAACACCAGUGGCGAAAGCGGCUUCCUGGUCCAGCACCGACGUUCAGGCACGAAAGCGUGGGGAGCAAACAGG